GACGAACGCUGGCGGCGUGCUUAACACAUGCAAGUCGAACGGUAAGGCCUUUCGGGGUACACGAGUGGCGAACGGGUGAGUAACACGUGGGUGAUCUGCCCUGCACUUUGGGAUAAGCCUGGGAAACUGGGUCUAAUACCGAAUAGGACCAUGGACUUCACGGUUUGUGGUGGAAAGCUUUUGCGGUGUGGGAUGGGCCCGCGGCCUAUCAGCUUGUUGGUGGGGUAAUGGCCUACCAAGGCGACGACGGGUAGCCGGCCUGAGAGGGUGACCGGCCACACUGGGACUGAGAUACGGCCCAGACUCCUACGGGAGGCAGCAGUGGGGAAUAUUGCACAAUGGGCGCAAGCCUGAUGCAGCGACGCCGCGUGAGGGGAUGACGGGCCUUCGGGUUGUAAACCGUCUUUCUAGCGACAGACGAAGCGCAAGUGACGGUAUGUGCAGAAGAAGGACCGGCCAACUACGUAGCCAGCAGCCGCGGUAAU
rnacentral:rRNA from 1 species